GAUGAACGCUGGCGGCGUGCCUAAUACAUGCAAGUCGAGCGAAAAGAUCAGGAGCUGGCUCCUUUGACGUUAGGGGCGGACGGGUGAGUAACAGGAGGGUAACCUACCUAUAAGAAUGAGAUAACUACGGGAAACCGGAGCUAAUACCGGAUAACAAUUGGAACCGCAGGGUUCUAAAGUGAAAGAUGGUUGUGCUAUCACUUAUAGAUGGACCCGCGCCGUAUUAGCUAGUUGGUAAGGUAACGGCUUACCAAGGCAACGAUCCGUAGCCGACCUGAGAGGGUGGUAGGCCCCCCUGCAACUGAGCCACGGCCCAGACCCCUACGGGAGGCGGCAGAAGGGAAUCUUCCGCAAUGGACGAAAGCAUGACGGGACACCGCCGCGUGAGUGAUAAAGGGUUUCGGCUCGGAAAUCUCUGUUAUUAGUAAAAAACAAAUGUGUAAGUAACUGGGCACGUCUUGACGGUACCUAAUCAGAAAGCCACGGCUAACUACGUG
rnacentral:rRNA from 1 species